AAAACAGAUGCACAACAAAUCCAAUAUUGCGGUGGUUGGAGGACUGCUGGAGCAUUCUUCUAGAGAACCUUUGGCCAGAACACCCAACCUACGACAUGACUCAAGCUGUAACAAAUGAAAUAUCCAUCAUUGAACAACAGGACUCAAGUUCACAAGACGUGAUGCUUCAUAACACAAAUGUAACACCUGUAAAGCUUGUAAACCUGACCAUUGCAUUCUUGAAGGCUUUUAUGUCACAUUCAGAUGUAUAUACUCAUAUGGACUGCAUAUCUCCAACAUACAGCACACUUACAGGGGGAGCCACAUGCCUGCUAUCAUUCAUCUCUUGGUGGGGAGUAACUCUCUUCACUGCCAUAGUGAUCAUUUUGCUGUGAAAGGGUGGCUAAACAAUCCCCCUACAUAAAAUUUCAGUUUUGUACUACAAAUGAGUGUCCUGCCUGGGCAGCUUUGUUCAUCAGCCAGUUUCAGUCAAGUCAUUGUAAAGCUGAAUGUAAAACAAGGUAGUAUCAGAAAAGCUCUACAUGAAAUGGGGGAAGAGUUCACUAGAAUAACAGCAUGACAGUGAGAAAGGAGAGAUUAUCUAGUACUGAUACAAUGUUUUAACUACUUUUAUUAAGCUUUAUGACUUAGAAGUCAGUGCUGCAAUGCUGAUGUGACUGUGGCUUUGUCUUAUAACAUUUGCAUAAGCAUCCACCACCUAUAUAAUGGUAGCUUUCAUAAGUAAUCUACCAACAAGACCACAACAGCUGUAGCAAUAUGUGAUAACGGAGUGGCUUAGCAACUACCAGAUGCUGAGUGCAGCUGAGAAAGACAUCAGGGCGGGUUUGGAACCAGUGUAGAUCAAAUAUUAACCUGGCCCUUAAACAUAAUAUAAAACCUAUAAUUUACAGAUGAAUACCUGUGAUAAGAGUUUGGGAAUAUACCACUGCCUUAUUCAGAAUUUAUAGAGGGUUCACACUUGAGCAGCCAUUUAUUCUGAAGCAUACUAGUUUGCAAAUGUGCUUAGAUGCGCCAAGUAACACAAAUAAUAGGAGUCUGUCAUGUUUAGCUUCAGCAACUGCUUAUAUUAGGCAUCUAUUUUUCUAAAAUAUUUAGCAGAAAUUCUGUUUGUGAUUUGAAGGGAAUUGUCAAUAACCACUGAUAACAGCAAAUGUGUGAGAACAUGACAUUCACUUAAAAUUUACAUUUUAGCUUUCCUUAUUGUUUCUCCCUGUGAUGUUUCCCAAUAAAUAUGCAUCAUAUGCCAGAA